GGAUGAAGUUGGACUGUGUGUGGAAGCUAUGAGAGAGGGUGAAGAAAGCACUCAUCUUGCUUGAGAAUAGGAACUUGACUUCCUCCAAGUGCAGACAUAAUUCUUGAUCCAUAAAACUCAGAUUUCCACCUCCCGAAGAUUGAAACACUAACUUCUGUUAGUGGGAACUGGGCGAUGAUCGCUCUGGCUACUUCAUGCUGAAAAGGAUCUAAAACCGAGGACAGAGUCAUUAUUAGAGGCGCUAAGAAAAGUGUCUAGGGGCCACCGCUGUGACACAGUGGAUUAAUGCC